AUACAUGUGGGGGUGCUAAUACAUGCAGUCGAACGAGUGUCUCGCUGUGAUGAUCGGUGCUUGCACCGAGAUUCAACAUGGAACGAGUGGCGGACGGGUGAGUAACACGUGGGUAACCUGCCCUUAAGUGGGGGAUAACAUUUGGAAACAGAUGCUAAUACCGCAUAGAUCCAAGAACCGCAUGGUUCUUGGCUGAAAGAUGGCGUAAGCUAUCGCUUUUGGAUGGACCCGCGGCGUAUUAGCUAGUUGGUGAGGUAAUGGCUCACCAAGGCGAUGAUACGUAGCCGAACUGAGAGGUUGAUCGGCCACAUUGGGACUGAGACACGGCCCAAACUCCUACGGGAGGCAGCAGUAGGGAAUCUUCCACAAUGGACGCAAGUCUGAUGGAGCAACGCCGCGUGAGUGAAGAAGGCUUUCGGGUCGUAAAACUCUGUUGUUGGAGAAGAAUGGUCGGCAGAGUAACUGUUGUCGGCGUGACGGUAUCCAACCAGAAAGCCACGGCUAACUACGUGCCAGCAGCCGCGGUAAUACGUAGGUGGCAAGCGUUAUCCGGAUUUAUUGGGCGUAAAGCGAGCGCAGGCGGUUUUUUAAGUCUGAUGUGAAAGCCCUCGGCUUAACCGAGGAAGCGCAUCGGAAACUGGGAAACUUGAGUGCAGAAGAGGACAGUGGAACUCCAUGUGUAGCGGUGAAAUGCGUAGAUAUAUGGAAGAACACCAGUGGCGAAGGCGGCUGUCUGGUCUGUAACUGACGCUGAGGCUCGAAAGCAUGGGUAGCGAACAGGAUUAGAUACCCUGGUAGUCCAUGCCGUAAACGAUGAAUGCUAGGUGUUGGAGGGUUUCCGCCCUUCAGUGCCGCAGCUAACGCAUUAAGCAUUCCGCCUGGGGGAGUACGAACCGCCAAGGUUGAAAACUCAAAGGAAAUUGACGGGGGGCCCGCCACAAGCGGUGGAAGCAUGUGGGUUUAAUUCCAAAGCAACGCCGAAGAAACCUUUACCAGGGACC
rnacentral:rRNA from 1 species